CGGGACGUGGCGCAGCUUGGUAGCGCACUUGACUGGGGGUCAAGGGGUCGUGGGUUCGAAUCCCGCCGUCCCGACCG
rnacentral:tRNA from 3 species